rnacentral:rRNA from 1 species
UACGUAGGGUGCAAGCGUUGUCCGGAAUUAUUGGGCGUAAAGAGCUCGUAGGCGGUCUGUCGCGUCUGCUGUGAAAACUCAGGGCUUAACCCUGAGCUUGCAGUGGGUACGGGCAGACUAGAGUGCGGUAGGGGAGACUGGAAUUCCUGGUGUAGCGGUGAAAUGCGCAGAUAUCAGGAGGAACACCGGUGGCGAAGGCGGGUCUCUGGGCCGUAACUGACACUGAGAGACGAAAGCUAGGGGAGCAAAUGGG